rnacentral:rRNA from 1 species
CACGCCGUAAACGAUGGGUACUAGGUGUUGUGGGCUUAAUACUCACAGUGCCGUCGCUAACGCAUUAAGUACCCCGCCUGGGAAGUACGGCCGCAAGGUUAAAACUCAAAGGAAUUGACGGGGGCCCGCACAAGCGGUGGAGCAUGUGGUUUAAUUCGACGCAACGCGAAAAACCUUACCUAGACUUGACAUCUGGAGAAUCUUCUAGAAAUAGAAGAGUGCCCGCAAGGGAGCUUCAAGACAGGUGC